AUUGAACGCUGGCGGCAGGCCUAACACAUGCAAGUCGAACGAGUGGCGGACGGGUGAGUAAUGUCUGGGAAACUGCCUGAUGGAGGGGGAUAACUACUGGAAAAGGUAGCUAAUACCGCAUACCAUCAGAUGUGCCCAGAUGGGAGUAGCUAGUUGGUGGGGUAACGGCGCACCAAGGCGACGAUCCCUAGCUGGUCUGAGAGGAUGACCAGCCACACUGUAACUGGGACACGGUCCAGCCUCCUACGGGAGGCCGCAGUGGGGAAUAUUGCACUGUGGGCGCAAGCCUGAUGCAGCCAUGCCGCGUGUAUGAAGAAUGCCUUCGGGUUGUAAAGUACUUUCAGCGGGGAGGCGUUACCCGCAGAAGAAGCACCGGCUAACUCCGUGCCAGCAGCCGCGGUAAUAC
rnacentral:rRNA from 1 species